GUGCUUGCACUAGUGGAUUAGUGGCGCACGGGUGAGUAAAGUAUAGCUAACCUGCCCCUUGGAGGGGGACAACAGUUGGAAACGACUGCUAAUACCCCAUACUCCUUUUAUACACAAGUAUAAUUGGGAAAUGUUAUUUCGCCAAGGGAUGGGGCUAUAUCGUAUCAGCUAGUUGGUAAGGUAACGGCUUACCAAGGCUAUGACGCGUAGCUGGUCUGAGAGGAUGGUCAGCCACACUGGAACUGAGACACGGUCCAGACUCCUACGGGAGGCAGCAGUGAGGAAUAUUGCACAAUGGGGGGAACCCUGAUGCAGCAACGCCGCGUGGAGGAUGAAGCAUUUCGGUGUGUAAACUCCUUUUAUCAAGGAAGAAGGAUGACGGUACUUGAUGAAUAAGCACCGGCUAACUCCGUGCCA
rnacentral:rRNA from 1 species